rnacentral:rRNA from 1 species
UCCAGGCGUCGAGCGGCGGACGGGUGAGUAAUGCAUAGGAAUCUGCCCGGUAGUGGGGGAUAACCUGGGGAAACCCAGGCUAAUACCGCAUACGUCCUACGGGAGAAAGCAGGGGAUCUUCGGACCUUGCGCUAUCGGAUGAGCCUAUGUCGGAUUAGCUUGUUGGUGAGGUAAUGGCUCACCAAGGCGACGAUCCGUAGCUGGUCUGAGAGGAUGAUCAGCCACAUCGGGACUGAGACACGGCCCGAACUCCUACGGGAGGCAGCAGUGGGGAAUAUUGGACAAUGGGCGAAAGCCUGAUCCAGCCAUGCCGCGUGUGUGAAGAAGGCUUUCGGGUUGUAAAGCACUUUCAGUGAGGAAGAAGGCCUUGGGGCUAAUACCCCCGAGGAAGGACAUCACUCACAGAAGAAGCACCGGCUAACUCCGUGCCAGCAGCCGCGGUAAUACGGAGGGUGCGAGCGUUAAUCGGAAUUACUGGGCGUAAAGCGCGCGUAGGCGGCGUGAUAAGCCGGUUGUGAAAGCCCCGGGCUCAACCUGGGAACGGCAUCCGGAACUGUCAGGCUAGAGUGCAGAAGAGGAAGGUAGAAUUCCCGGUGUAGCGGUGAAAUGCGUAGAGAUCGGGAGGAAUACCAGUGGCGAAGGCGGCCUUCUGGACUGACACUGACGCUGAGGUGCGAAAGCGUGGGUAGCAAACAGGAUUAGAUACCCUGGUAGUCCACGCCGUAAACGAUGUCGACUAGCCGUUGGGGUCCUAGAGACCUUUGUGGCGCAGUUAACGCGAUAAGUCGACCGCCUGGGGAGUACGGCCGCAAGGUUAAAACUCAAAUGAAUUGACGGGGGCCCGCACAAGCGGUGGAGCAUGUGGUUUAAUUCGAUGCAACGCGAAAAACCUUACCUACCCUUGACAUCGUGCGAACUUUCCAGAGAUGGAUUGGUGCCUUCGGGAGCGCACAGACAGGUGCUGCAUGGCUGUCGUCAGCUCGUGUUGUGAAAUGUUGGGUUAAGUCCCGUAACGAGCGCAACCCUUGUCCCUAUUUGCCAGCGAUUCGGUCGGGAACUCUAGGGAGACUGCCGGUGACAAACCGGAGGAAGGUGGGGACGACGUCAAGUCAUCAUGGCCCUUACGGGUAGGGCUACACACGUGCUACAAUGGCCGGUACAAAGGGUUGCGAAGCCGCGAGGUGGAGCUAAUCCCGAAAAGCCGGUCUCAGUCCGGAUCGGAGUCUGCAACUCGACUCCGUGAAGUCGGAAUCGCUAGUAAUCGUGAAUCAGAAUGUCACGGUGAAUACGUUCCCGGGCCUUGUACACACCGCCCGUCACACCAUGGGAGUGGACUGCACCAGA